rnacentral:rRNA from 1 species
AACGAACGCUGGCGGCAGGCCUAAUACAUGCAAGUCGAACGCCCCGCAAGGGGAGUGGCGCACGGGUGAGUAACGCGUGGGAAUGUGCCCGUAGGUGCGGAACAACGCUUGGAAACGAACGCUAAUACCGCAUAAUAUCUCCGGAUCAAAGAUUUAUCGCCUAGGGAUCAGCCCGCGUUGGAUUAGCUAGUUGGUGGGGUAACGGCCUACCAAGGCGCCGAUCCAUAGCUGGUCUGUUAGGAUGAUCAGCCACACUGAGACUGAGACACGGCCCAAACUCCUACGGGAGGCAGCAGUAAGGAAUAUUGGACAAGGGGGGCAACCCUGAGCCAGCCAUGCCGUGUGAGUGAUGAAGGCCUUCGGGUUGUAAAGCUCUUUUAGGUUUGACGAUGAUUGCGGUAAGACCAGAAAAAGCUCCGGCUAACUUCGUGCCAGCCGCCGCAGUAAGAC